rnacentral:snRNA from 1 species
AGCUUUGCACAGUGGCAAUAUCAUAGCCAAUGAGGUUUAUCCAAGGCACAUUAUUGCAGAUUAUUGCUAAUUGAAAACAAUAAUUAUUUUACAUUGUCUAGUAGAAUUUUCAGAGUAUAUGCAGAGCAACUGAAAUUUUCAUGCAUUUCUGGUGGAA